AACCUGAGAUAAAAUCUGGACGGUAAUAAUUGAUGAAAGCUUCUAGAAGCAGAGGUUGAGAGCGGUUUUCCUUUCCUUGGAUUUCUCCCCAUGUCGCCGGUCAAACCCACUCUUCUUCUCUUUCUCUGCUCAAAAACAAUUCAUAGUUUUCCCAAUUUCUAUUUCGGUUCCCAAGCACUGGAGCAUAUUCAAAAAUCCGCUCAUCUUACAAUCCUUUGGAGUGGUUUGGUGGAUUGGUGUUCAGAUUUCCUCUCGCCGCAUUUUUGACUAGGUUAUUUCAAUCGAAAUCGACGGCGACGGUGGACUUGAAACCGAUGAUAAUUAGGGUUUAAUUGUUGAGUUAAGUGAAAUCCCAGGUUAUAUCUUCGUCAAGAUGGUGAUUCGAACAUCCAGUGAAAAGGGGUUAGGGUGAAAUGCAAGUCCACUGAAGGGCAGGUUCAAAUGCACUUGACCACAUUAGAAUCUUAUGAAGCCGAGCCGUGUUGGAAAAAAGGUGGUGAAGUCUAUAGACUUUUUUGAUGUUGGAGGCCAAAGAAACGAACGGAAGGAACCAGACGAGGGGAAUUUAUUUAUCUGAAAGGCGUUAGAGCUGUCAUAUAUUGUGUUGCUAUAAUAUAUUCUUAUGUUCCUCAUAAUCUCAACUACUUUCUAGGCUAAUCUUAACCAUUCAAAGUCCCUAACUUUUAAUCAUGACCCUUUAAAAUCAAACUUUUCUUCCAGAAGCAGCAGUUAGUAGCAGUUCCACCCUCUCCCUCCUCAAAACUGCAGUUGUCGUCUCCCCCUUUUUUUCCUCCCCGUGUCGCCUACCUCCAUAUAUAACCUAUCAUGAAAUUGAAGACGAUGAUGAGUCCAGAGAUGUAUACAUAUUUUCUUUUAGAUUUCUCCUAAGGUAGCUUUCAGAUUCUGCAUAAAUUCUUUCAUUAGUUAAUUUUUAAUUAGUGUUGUUAUACGAAUUCUGCUGCUUGUCCGUUGCUGCUCGAUUUCGUCGUUUUAUAUCUCAAUCACAACAAAGGAAACCGUUGCACCAACAAUCGAAGUAUUGGAGCAGCAUUUAUUAAUAUUUGUUUGUUGUGUCGCCGCAACCACCGAUCGGGUUGCAUAGACCAAGCUAGCAUUGGAAUUGCAGAAAAAUGGGGCCGGCUCGAGAUAUUGGCUGAGCCAGGGAUCAAUUUCUUCGACCCUUGGGCCGGGGGAACCGAUUGAAAGCCGUAGGAAAUUGAAGGGUUCUCGUCGGGUUUGAUCUUAAAAUCUAGUGCUGCUGAUUAUUGAAGGCAAGAAGAGAGAAGAUCAAUACUCAGAUGAAGCUUCUUCAAUAGCAGUUUUCAGAUUUCAGCCACCAACACUGAAAGAAAAACAAAAUUAUGUUGAAGUUUUUGUCGAAAGUGAAGAUCGAAUUUAACGCCCUAGACCCACGCGCGGCUGCUUGCAUGGAAUUCUUGUCUCAGCGCAAUGCUCGAACCGCCAAGGAGUCAAACCAACCAUGCCAACUACUGCUCAAACGCCCACUGAUAGCUUCCCACCCCAGAUAAUCAUGGAGAACAUAAUCUUGUUGCUUGAUUAUAACGGCUGUAGUAGAUAUUGGCUGUGGCUCAGGAAUCCUUUCAAUAUUUUGUGCUCAAGCAUGAGCAAAACAAGUUUAUAGUGGAUGCGAUUGAGAUAGCUUUGCAGGCAAAGAUUGAGUGAGCAGGAGAACUUUUGCGAUUUAGAACUUGUGUUAGGUAUAUAUUUCGAGGCCACGAAGCAAGAAUAAAAGCAUAGAAAUGAUUGAGGCAUUAGGAAACCUUUUUAAUUUAGCCAUUUUUUUUAUUCAUCUCCCUACCCAAAUCAUUCCCCUAGUUAAACCAAUUUGAGCCUUUCCCGUUCAUUUCUUUUAAACCACAAAAUACUAGCCACUUAGCCAAAUUAGCCUUUUAUAUUUUUAACCCAUUUUUGGUCGGAAGCCCGGUUCGGUUGAUGAUUAACUUGUAGUUUUUGUAUAGUUUCUUCGUUGUUGUUAUGUACCCUCAUGAUCAAGAGUUUUUAUCUAAGACGUACUUAAUUCUCUCCUAAUCAUGGGUUAAAAAAAUAAUAAAAUAAAAAAAAAUAAAAAAAACCCAAAUAAAUAUAGAUGAAAAAAGCCUUAUCAAUCGGCUUUGUUAGAGCAAUUUUGGGAGUGAAAAGCAAUACUUGUCGGUUAGCUCUCGGUUAGUUAUUAUUUAGUUGUAUAGUCUUUUUUUUCUUGUAUUUCAAGUUAGUCGAGCCGUCGGUUUACAACCGCUUUAGCCACUUUUAAAAAAUCCACUUCCACACCCUUAACCCAAGCCAAGUUACAACACAAACAACACCUCAUGAUUUAUGCUAUGUUUUUGCCGAGUGAUUAGAUUUGAUCCUUCCACAAGCUUAUGACAUCGCAUAGUUAUCGUCUUGGCAUCGAGUGUUCUAAACAUACUCCACAAAUUGUAUGUGCACAUAUAUUUAGCCGAGUGUGUGUGAACAUUGUGAGGAUGCUUGGUGAACUUGUAGGGAUUUCUAAGAUGUACCAUUGCUCUUUUCGGUUCUUUCUUUAUAUCGAGCACUCCUUAAUUGUUAUAACCCGAGUUAUUUAUUUGUGCUUAUGAAAUGCUAGUUGAGAUGAUUGCCAUUAAGAGAGUUCCGUUAAAUUUUAGUUUGCUUGAGGACAAGCAAAGUUCAAGUGUGGGGAUGUUUGAUGUAUAAGAAUUUAUACAUAUUUUAAACGUCAAAUACGCCCUGUUUAUGCGAAAACUAUUUGUAUUUUCAUUGAUUUUGGUACUCAUUUGAGCUGUUUAU